UUCUACCAAAUAUGACUCAGGUGGCUGCUGGGAAUCCAUGAUCGCAUGCAAAUUAUACCGGAAGAGGGGCGGAGCCGGAGCCGCUGCCGUCCCAGAAGUCUCCGGGAAGCGGCUGCGCUGCGCGGGCGAAUCUUUGCUCCUGGGAAGAUGGCGGCGGCGGAGCCGGGGCAUUAGGGCGAGUGCAGGCUGCGGCCACCCGCUCGGCUGGGCGCACAGGCCGGCCCGGGUCCCAUGCCACUCCUUGAGUGCCCAGACUCAGUCCAGCCUCUGGUUCUUUGCACUGGCUUUUCCGUCCACCUGGAAUGCUCUUCCUUCAGGCUGCUUGCCUCAAUCCCUCACACCUCCACCAGGGAGGCCUCCCUGGCCACGCGUGGGCACAAUGGACCUGGCUUACAUCUGCGAGUGGGAGAAAUGGCCCAAGAGCACCCACUGCCCGUCGGUGCCCCUGGCCUGCACCUGGUCCUGCCGUAACCUCAUCGCCUUCACCACGGACCUGCGGAGUGAUGACCAGGACCUGACCCGCAUGAUCCACGUCCUGGACACCGAGCACCCCUGGGACGUGCACUCCAUCCGCUCGGAGCACAGCGAAGCCAUCACCUGCCUCGAGUGGGACCAGUCAGGCUCGAGGCUGCUGUCGGCUGAUGCCGAUGGGCAAAUCAAGUGCUGGAGCAUGGCCGACCACCUGGCCAACAGCUGGGAGAGCCCCGUGGGCAGCCUGGUGGAGGGGGACCCCAUCGUGGCCUUGUCGUGGCUGCACAACGGUGUGAAGCUGGCCCUGCACGUGGAAAAGUCGGGCGCCUCCAGCUUUGGCGAGAAGUUCUCCCGAGUCAAGUUCUCGCCAUCGCUCACGCUGUUUGGGGGCAAGCCCAUGGAGGGCUGGAUUGCAGUGACGGUCAGCGGCCUGGUCACCGUGUCCCUGCUCAAGCCCAGCGGGCAAGUGCUGACCUCGACGGAGAGCCUGUGCCGGCUGCGUGGUCGCGUGGCCCUGGCCGACAUCGCCUUCACGGGCGGCGGCAACAUCGUGGUGGCCACGGCAGACGGCAGCAGCGCAUCCCCAGUGCAGUUCUACAAGGUGUGCGUGAGCGUCGUCAAUGAGAAGUGCCGCAUCGACACCGAGAUCCUGCCCUCGCUCUUCAUGCGCUGCACCACUGACCUCAACCGCCGGGACCGGCUCCCCGCCAUCACCCACCUCAAGUUCCUGGCCCGAGACAUGUCAGAGCAGGUGCUGCUGUGUGCGUCCAGCCAGACCAGCAGCGUGGUGGAGUGCUGGUCUCUGCGCAAGGAGGGGCUCCCUGUGAACAACAUCUUCCAGCAGCUCUCGCCCGCCGUUGGUGACAAACAGCCCACAAUUCUCAAAUGGCGGAUCCUGUCAGCCACCAACGACCUGGACCGUGUGUCCGCCGUGGCGCUGCCCAAGCUCCCCAUCUCGCUCACCAACACUGACCUGAAGGUGGCCAGCGACACCCAGUUCUACCCCGGCCUCGGGCUGGCCCUGGCCUUCCAUGACGGCAGCGUCCACAUCGUGCACCGGCUCUCGCUGCAGACCAUGGCCAUCUUCUAUAGCUCCGCAGCCCCGCGCUCCGUGGACGAGCCGGCUAUCAAGCGCCCUCGGACCACAGGCCCCGCCGUCCACUUCAAGGCCAUGCAGCUCUCCUGGACUUCCCUGGCCCUCGUGGGCAUCGACAACCACGGCAGGCUGAGCAUGUUGCGCAUCUCGCCCUCCAUGGGCCACUCGCUGGACGCGGGGCUGGCCCUGCGGCACCUGCUCUUCCUGCUGGAGUACUGCAUGGUGACCGGCUACGACUGGUGGGACAUCCUGCUGCACGUGCAGCCCAGCAUGGUGCAGAGCCUGGUGGAGAAGCUGCAUGAGGAGUACACGCGCCAGAAGGCCGAGCUGCAGCAGGUCCUCUCUACCCGGAUCCUGGCCAUGAAGGCCUCGCUCUGCAAGCUGUCGCCCUGCGCAGUGACCCGCGUGUGCGAGUACCACGCCAAGCUCUUCCUCAUCGCCGCCAGCUCCACGCUCAAGUCGCUGCUGCGCCCGCACGUGCUCAACACGCCCGACAAGAGUCCCGGCGACCGGCUGACGGAGAUCUGCGCCAAGAUCACGGACGUCGACAUUGACAAGGUCAUGAUCAACCUCAAGACGGAGGAGUUCGUCCUGGACAUGAACACGCUCCAGGCGCUGCAGCAGCUCCUGCAGUGGGUGGGCGACUUCGUGCUCUACCUGCUGGCUAGUCUGCCCAACCAGGGCUCCCCGCUGCGGCCCGGCCACAGCUUCCUGCGGGAUGGCACGUCGCUGGGCAUGCUGCGGGAGCUGAUGGUCGUCAUCCGCAUCUGGGGCCUGCUGAAGCCCAGCUGCCUGCCUGUGUACACGGCCACCUCUGACACCCAGGACAGCAUGUCCCUGCUCUUCCGCCUGCUCACCAAGCUCUGGAUCUGCUGCCGCGAGGAGGGCCCCACGAGUGAGCCGGAUGAGGCGCUCGUUGACGAGUGCUGCCUGCUGCCCAGCCAGCUGCUCAUCCCCAGCCUGGACUGGCUGCCUGUCAGCGACGGCCUCGUCAGCCGCCUGCAGCCCAAGCAGCCGCUGCGUCUGCACUUCGGCAAGCCUCCCGCUCUGCCCGGCAGUGCCACCAGCUUGCAGCUGGACGGCCUCAUCAGGACGCCGGGCCAGCCCAAGAUGGACCACCUGCGGAGGCUGCACCUGGGCGCCUACCCGACGGAGGCCUGCAAGGCCUGCACCAGGUGCGGCUGUGUCACCAUGCUCAAGUCACCCAACAAGACCACGGCUGUCAAACAGUGGGAGCAGCGCUGGAUCAAGAACUGCCUGUGUGGGGGGCUCUGGUGGCGGAUGCCCCUCAGCUACCCCUGACUGCGCCCAGGCCCCUUAUGAUAAUCUCUGGAUCCAUCCAUGUUGCUGCAAAUGGUUGUUUUCGUUUUGUUUAUGGUUUCCUUUGCUGUGCAAAAUGUCAGUGGAUUCCCAAUGGGUUUAAAGGAAAGGCACGCUGUCCCCUUGCUGGUCACAGAGCAGCCACGCACUCCAGACCUUCAUUGGGUGCGUGAGACAAUGCCACCCUUGAACUAUGCUUUUGGGCCCUUAUCAGCUGCGGCCAGCACCUGUGUAACCGGCAGGGGCAGGUGAGGACACGGCCUGAAGCCUCAAGUUGGCACCCUCGGCCCAGCGGGCCCUGCUCUUUCUUCCUCGGAGCCUACAGGCGGAUCCGGGUGGAGGGGCCUGGCCGCAUGGCCACCAUAACAGGUGGGUGACUGAGACAGGCCUGGGCCUGCCCUGAGGAUCUCACUGCCCCGGGUAGAGCCACGGCUGUGUCCCGACCCCUGGGACCCCAGAGCGCAGUGACCCGCCCUGGAUUUCCCAGGUCCCAGCUCAGAGGGUCCAGGACCAGCUCAGGCCUCUGUCCUUCAGAACAUCCCACAUGAAACCUGCCGGGUGUCCAGUGGCCACUGUCAGUGACACCAGCCCGGGCGUCUGCUUCGGGUUUCCUCACCUGUACCUGCCACUGCUGAGCCCCUCGCGACCGCCGUCUCUGACCUGGGCAGACCAGUAAACGUCCCCACUGGGUGGCUGGUGUCUUGUCGGUGUCCUGGGCGCCACCCGGCAGCCCCCUCGCCCCCGGAGCCUCCCUCCCUCUCCACAGGCAUGUGGUUCUGCCCCUGUGUGUGCUGCUCUCCUGCUCUGUCAGCAUUUAUUGAGCACCUAGUGUCUGCCAGGCACAGGGGUCCCUGCACGGGGGAAGCAGUGGGCUGGACGUGGGUGGGGGCUGCUCCCCGCCGCCUGGGUUCCUGCGCACAUGAGUGUCUCUGUCUCUGCUUUCCCUCUGCAUCCCUCCCCCUCCCCUCUCCCCUGGGUUUCCUGAGCUCCGUGGCCCCCAGGGGUCCUGCUUCGCCAGCAGCCGCUUCCACCCAUUAUGCCUGGCUCCCCGCAGGCCCCCGGCACAGCGCCUGCCUGUUAAGUGGUGAUUGCUUCUCUUGUUUUCCUUCUGGAGGCGAAAGGGAGGGCAGGCCGGCCGGGCGCCCCGCGGAGUUCAACACGCGGCAGCGGUGUCUGUCGGGCUUUCAGGGGCUGGCAGCGCUCCAGGGGCCCCAUUUCCUGGGCCAGGGGCCGCUUCCCCGCCGGCCCGCCCACCUGCGGCAGCAGCACUUGGCGUCUAGGUCCUGCCGUCCAAGAGGUGCUUCUGCGGGGACCUGUGGGGACCCGGAGCUGCUGGCUGUGCCGGGAGGGGUGGAGACACCCUGCCUUGGACUCACCUCCCGUGCUGCUGCCACCGCCUUCUGUCGCCUUGGGGAAAGGGGACCCAGGGCUGCCUCCCUGGUCGAGGGGCAUGUGGUCCACGUUCCUACAUAUUUUUUCUCAGCCUUCUACCCCAUUUGACCAUGUUUUUUUAAGCAACUUGUGUCUCUCAAGUCAUUUGAAGUCUUUAAACCAGUUAUUUGUCUUAGGAAAAUGAGCCUGUUUCUUGCACUCAUGUUUCAUUGGUUAAGGUUAAAUUGUGGGCAUUUACACCCCGGCCACCAUCUUCGGACGUUCCCUGGAAGGUGGGUCCGCAUAUCCUCCCCUUGGGUCUGGGGCUCACACCUGUUCCCAUCUGUCCUAUGCAGGGGAAGUGGCCCUGGGUGACCCUGAGGCUGGUGGGAACCGGCCUGGCUCCUGGGCCCUCAUCCUGGAGCCUCCAGGCCUCUGGUCAUCUAGGUGGUGGGACAGGGACACGCGCCCCUCCCCCCCACAUCCUUGUGACCCGGACCCGCACAAGCUGAGCGCAGUGAAUGACGAACGGGGAUGGCUCUGCGUCGCCGAGUUUGGGGCAGUUUGUUACGCAGCAGCAGAUAACUGGAACGCUCCGUGAACUGCUGUGACAAGCCCAGGGGGCAUAAGCGGGCCCGGCUGUCCAGAAGCGUCGGGCUCAUCUGGGGGCCGUGGGGGGGCCACCUACUGAGGGCCCUGCUGGAAUGUUCCUCCAGGUUGGGAGGGGAUUUGUGGGUGGGGAUGUUCCCUUGCCCCCCGUCCUGCCCCCACCAUGUGUCCACACGGGUCCUCCCCUCUGGGGUCAACAAGGGCAGGUGUUACUGUGACAGGAAGAGGCAGGUCAGUCCGUCGGGCUGCGUGUCCACUGUGCCCUCAGCCUCCUCAGAGCCAGGUCCACGGGUCCCAGCUGCAGGUGAGGAGGCCGAGGCCACCAUCCUCUGGAAAUAGAAGCGGGAAGCUGCCCUUGACUCCCCAUGGCAAGUGGGCUGCCGUCUGCAGUGGGGGGGCACGGCCACGUGGGCCACCCUCCCUGCACGCUCCUCCUCCCCUGUGGCUCAGGGUUGUCCCCUCCCCCUCCCACCAGCAUCCGUGGGGAAGUUGCUAGAAGAGGCCCUGCAGGGUCACAGGGCUCUCAGACGGCUGUGUCACAGGGACUUCUGAGUUUUCAUGUGACUGCAGAAACCCCCCAUGGGGUAGAAAGCAUGGAGCCUAUGUCUCCUGCCUGGAGACCCACAGACCC